rnacentral:rRNA from 1 species
UACAGAGGGGGCAAGCGUUGCUCGGAAUUACUGGGCGUAAAGGGCGCGUAGGCGGGAUGGCAAGUCGGUCGUGAAAGCCUUCGGCUCAACCGAAGAACGUCGAUCGAUACUGCUGUUCUUGAGGGUUGCAGAGGAGACUGGAAUUCCCGGUGUAGCGGUGAAAUGUGUAGAGAUCGGGAGGAACACCGGUGGCGAAGGCGGGUCUCUGGGCAAUUCCUGACGCUGAGGCGCGAAAGCGUGGGGAGCAAACGGG